rnacentral:lncRNA from 1 species
UGUAACCACACAACACACAACUUAUUAACAAAAUAUAAAAAAGCAUAAAAAUUAUAUUUUUAUAAGAAAAGAAGAAAAACCCACUUACCAAUAGAUCCUGAAGAAGGCAAUGAAUGAAUUGCAACAAAGACUGAAGAAGGUAAAAAUGCAGGUUUAAGGAAGUAUAGAAGAAGGUGAAGAGGGAGAGGAAUGGAUUAUUGAGAGAAUAAGUGCUUCAAGGAAACGCGAAAAGCGAGUUGGUUGGAAAAUUCGAAUGGUAGAGAAGAGAAGAAGCUGGUUUUCCCCUUUUAUAUAAGCAACCAAAUUUCUUAUGGUUCAUGCUUCUCUCUCCUUCUUUUAUCUUUUUCAUUUAUUUCCGGUCAAAAACAAAACUAAUUUUUUUUAUAUCUUAAAUUCUUUGUUUUGAAAGUUUAUCUCUUCACUUAAAUUGAGUCAAACAAAAUACUCCCUCCGUCCCUUAAUAAAUGACCUAAUUGACAAUAUGCAUUAUUGACUUGAUAUACUUUGACCAUACUUUUCUACUAAUUCACAAAUAUAAAUAAUAACAUGUAAGAUGUUGUUGGAUUCGUCUCGAUAAGUAUUUUUAAAAUAUUAAAUUUUUAAAAUUUUUUUUAGUAGAGAAUUGAAGAUAUCAAAGAUAAAACAUAUGCAUUGGUAUGUGUGUCAGAGUCAACUAGGU